UACGGAGGAUGCGAGCGUUAUCCGGAUCUAUUGGGUUUAAAGGGUGCGUAGGCGGACUGUCAAGUCAGCGGUAAAAUUGAGAGGCUCAACCUCUUCCCGCCGUUGAAACUGGUGGUCUUGAGUGGAUGAGAAGUACGCGGAAUGCGUGGUGUAGCGGUGAAAUGCAUAGAUAUCACGCAGAACUCCGAUUGCGAAGGCAGCGUACCGGCAUCCAACUGACACUGAGGCUCGAAAGCGUGGGGAGCAAACAGG
rnacentral:rRNA from 1 species